UAAGUGGUAGUUUAUAUUAAAACAUAAAGUUGCAAACUUUAAGAAAGUUCCACUUUU
rnacentral:tRNA from 1 species